CUGCAGUUCGUGCAAACGAACACGUGGCGGCGGCCAUCUUUGUUCAUUCGAACGAGGUCAGCGGUAUGUGUAGCCAAAUCCAUGGAACUGAAAUCGGCUACACAUUUCCGCGAACACCGCUGACCUGUACCUUCUCCCAUACUGAACUUUCAGCCGCAGAGACUAAGUCCCGUUCAGCGAUGGUCAUUUUUUUUAGCCUGAAAUAGACCGACCGGUCAUAAAGGACUU